rnacentral:misc_RNA from 1 species
GUGGAAUCAUCAACUCUAUUUGCUUUUGUGAAUAGAGCUUGGACUUGGAGGUUAAUUGCUGGAUGCAUUAGUGUCUGGCUCCUCUUGAAUAUAUUAGCUUGAACCUUUGUGGAUCAGCUUCGGUGUGAUAAUUGUCUACGCCGUCCUGAGAAGCAUAACUGUGGGUUUUGGCUUCCAAUCGUCCUUCACGGGACAAAUUAUUAUGACCUU